UCUUUUCCGAGUUCGGUAUUUUUUUUUUAUUUGCUUGACCAUUAUGGCCCAUCUUAGCCGACUUUUCAUCAAAAUUACUGUCACUACCAGCCUAUAACAACCUUCAUUGAAAACAAAGGCUCAGGACUAUUUUAUUCACCCAUAACAACGCUUUACAAAUCAACAACCAAGCGACUAAAUCCGAUUCCAUCACGAAUAACGAUUCAACAAAAUGUACCCGAAAACAUCCAAUACUGGACCAAGAAAAGUGAAAAAUAUGAAAGUACAUCAACAGCAAAAUCAACUCACUCAGGCGACUGUAAAUACAUUCAAACAGCCAGACCUUGUGAGGGAAUUCCUGCUAAUAACAGUUCUUGGUUUCGAAACUCUUCUGUUCCUCAACGAAGUUCGCGCUCCAUUUAUUCUGAAAACCGUUAUGCGACCACCAUAGCCAGCACAGCGCAAUAUUUCCUUGGUACAACUCAACCAACUUGUGGCCAUAAACUCAUCCCAGGACUGCCGCCAUAAACCCAACUGUGACUUGGAAAAUUUGGAGUACGUUUCACGGAAUCUCCAAUAUCUUCAACACAAUUUUCUGGAUGCGCCAACAUAGGACGAAAACAGCCCAUGCAAAACAUUUAACUUGGAAAAUCUUGUUUGUCGUUUUCCACUGGACUUACUGUUUCUCCGGAGAGAUCAACUGGACACCUAUAAAAAUAUUAACAUCAAGUCAAGUUAAUCAUUCCACAUUCAACCUUUUCAUUACCAGUUGUGCAACCUUAAUGCCCGAUUGCUUGGGACCGCUCAAAUAAGUUUUGUGUGCCGAACCGUACCACAUAUGGAUGACUCUGGACUGGAUUUAAUUCGAAAAUUCGAUGAAUGGAACCCAAACUUUCUUAAAUUAAACUUCUUGUCACCUCAAGUCUACCAAACAAAAAGGUGGAACCAAAACGAAAGUACAACUCAAUACCACAUUCAAAUCAAGAAGCUGCAAUAAAUUAUAAUGAGGACUCCAUUGACCGAUGAACCUGAGACGUUUUGUUCCAAAAGGAGACUCUUCAGCUAAGCGCGUCUCAUAGGUCUUGCAGAGCCAGGAUUCGGGAGUUUCAGACUGUAUGUGUGGAAGAUAGCUCUGCUACUAGUAUUGCAAUCAGUUCCAAAGGAUUACUCAAUGAACCACCGGGAACAAAAGAAUGUCUAUAACGAUUUGAACGAAUUAAUUCAUGUCGUUGGUGUCAAUUUUGUCUUAUUGGUGGGAUUGCUUUUGAAUCUAGACGCAAUUAUGGACAAGCCGUAAUGUCCUACAAAUUCAACUGCAUCUUACAGCUAUAUACAAUCAGACUCUGUCAGCGCUAACCCUGACCCACACGCCGGAACAUUUUCGUAGGUUGCUCGACGGAAAAGAAAGACUCAUAAAACAUUUUUUAUUUCAACAACAAACUAGUUGGCGACGUAUAAAUAAAAUUUUCGAUACACCAUUACACAAACUGUAGCAAGAUGAUCACUUGUAACCAACUGCCACACAUACCGAAGGUUUGCUACUUGGAUGGCCAUUUACUUGUCCAAGUUAGAUAUCAGUGGAUUCUUGCAUGUUUCGAGCCUGGACAAGAACUGCAUGGCUCUUUUAUUGUUGCAGUCGAUCGAUCGAAAUGUUUUCUUCGUGCUAAAGUGACCAAGCAAGAGAAAAUUAACUGUACUAAGUAUCUGUACUAAGUACAUCUAAGGUGUGCUGAACAUGAAAGGCAUUAAUAUGAAGAACGCAUUAAUAUGAAGAGUUUCACCUAUACAAAAGCAAUUCAAACGAUUUGUUACUGCGUUCGAAAAUGACCACCACCGGCAGAGCAUCGGUUAAAAAGGAUCGAGAGUACCUAUCCCGAAUCGCAUCAUCGCCUCUACAAGUUAGUCCGUCAAACUGAUGUAUAGAUGUAGCAAAAACAUUGUGCUGGCACGGCAAGACAAAAGGUUUGUUGACAAUCCUUUUCAAAAACUUCAACGUUUGAAUUUUAUUCAAAGGCAAAUUGAUGUAAACAUUAUUUCCCUUCGUUUACGAUUCUAAUGUAAGAAAACUUACUU